rnacentral:rRNA from 1 species
AACAACUCUCGGCAACGGAUAUCUCGGCUCUCGCAUCGAUGAAGAACGCAGCAAAAUGCGAUACUUGGUGUGAAUUGCAGAAUCCCGUGAAUCAUCGAGUUUUUGAACGCAAGUUGCGCCCGAAGCCUUCCGGUGAAGGGCACGUCUGCCUGGGUGUCACGC